AUUGAACGCUGGCGGCAUGCUUUACACAUGCAAGUCGAACGGCAGCACGGGUGCUUGCACCUGGUGGCGAGUGGCGAACGGGUGAGUAAUGCACCGGAACGUAUCCAAUAAUGGGGGAUAACGCACCGAAAGAUGUGCUAAUACCGCAUACGCCCUGAGGGGGAAAGCGGGGGACCGUAAGGCCUCGCGUUACUGGAGCGGCCGAUGCCGGAUUAGCUAGUUGGUGAGGUAAAGGCUCACCAAGGCGACGAUCCGUAGCUGGUCUGAGAGGACGGCCAGCCACACUGGGACUGAGACACGGCCCAGACUCCUACGGGAGGCAGCAGUGGGGAAUUUUGGACAAUGGGCGCAAGCCUGAUCCAGCCAUGCCGCGUGAGUGAAGAAGGCCUUCGGGUUGUAAAGCUCUUUCGCAAGGAAAGAAAACUCAUCUCCUAAUACGGGGUGAGGAUGACGGUACCUUGAUAAGAAGCACCGGCUAACUACGUGCCAGCAGCCGCCGUAA
rnacentral:rRNA from 1 species